rnacentral:sRNA from 1 species
CUUCAAUGAACACAGCCUAAAUUCGCCACAUCGUGUGGCGACGGCUGCGUGACCUACAUCCUGUAGG